UAGCCGGCCUGAGAGGGCGACCGGCCACACUGGGACUGAGACACGGCCCAGACUCCUACGGGAGGCAGCAGUGGGGAAUAUUGCACAAUGGGCGAAAGCCUGAUGCAGCGACGCCGCGUGAGGGAUGACGGCCUUCGGGUUGUAAACCUCUUUCAGCAGGGAAGAAGCGAAAGUGACGGUACCUGCAGAAGAAGCGCCGGCUAACUACGUGCCAGCAGCCGCGGUAAUACGUAGGGCGCAAGCGUUGUCCGGAAUUAUUGGGCGUAAAGAGCUCGUAGGCGGCUUGUCACGUCGGGUGUGAAAGCCCGGGGCUUAACCCCGGGUCUGCAUUCGAUACGGGCUAGCUAGAGUGUGGUAGGGGAGAUCGGAAUUCCUGGUGUAGCGGUGAAAUGCGCAGAUAUCAGGAGGAACACCGGUGGCGAAGGCGGAUCUCUGGGCCAUUACUGACGCUGAGGAGCGAAAGCGUGGGGAGCGAACAGGAUUAGAUACCCUGGUAGUCCACGCCGUAAACGGUGGGAACUAGGUGUUGGCGACAUUCCACGUCGUCGGUGCCGCAGCUAACGCAUUAAGUUCCCCGCCUGGGGGAGUACGGA
rnacentral:rRNA from 1 species